CACUUGACUUGACUGAGCAAUAAUUCAAGGUUUCGACGACGACUCCUCCACCUUGUUCACUGUUGGUUGAUUUGGGUGAAGUCAAAUAUCACACGUUAACUUAACACGGUCGAGUUGGGUGGAGAGAUUAUUUCAAUUGGAUAAUUAAUCUUUUACUUGAGCAGAGUCGGAGGAUUCUCCUAAACUACUCUCUGUCUCUACCUCUUUGAAGUUUGGAGAGGAAGAGAAGACAGAUGGUGAGAUUCUCCCUUAGAUUACCAUUUGAAAGAUAGAUUGAUUUCAAGCUAUCGAUAGACAUGGUUUCGAUGGAUCUAGAUCUACUUCCAAAUUUGUUUGAAGGAUUACUCACAUGGCUAGAUCUGCUUUGCUCAAGUUGUUUUUUUUUUUUUGUAUUUGUUUGUUUAAUCUCAACGUUGGUAAGACCCAAUGGCUGCUGUACUCAUAAAAUGUUAUGUUUUUUGUUUAAGUUUAUUUAGAUUGUGGCGUGGUUAGUUAAGUAAGGUGUAGUCCUCAUCUUUUGUUUAUCAAUAAGGAAACUAACGAUAAGAAGUUGUUCCUUGGUUUUUUCACA